rnacentral:rRNA from 1 species
UUUAGAAAGACUGCCGAUUAUAAAUCGGAGGAAGGUAAGGACGACGUCAAGUCAUCAUGCCCCUUACACUCUGGGCUACACACGUGCUACAUUGGGUAGAACAAUAAGUUGCUAAGUUGCGAAACCAAGCGAAUCUUCAAAUCUACUCUAAGUUCGGAUUGUAGGCUGCAACUCGCCUACAUAAAGAUGGAAUCGCUAGUAAUCGCUGGUCAGCUACACAGCGGUGAAUCCGUUCCCGGGCCUUGUACCCACCGCCCGUCACACCAUGGGAG